rnacentral:rRNA from 1 species
AACGAACGCUGGCGGCAGGCUUAACACAUGCAAGUCGAACGACAUAGUGGCAGACGGGUGAGUAACGCGUGGAAACGUGCCUUUCACUACGGAAUAGCUUUUGGAAACGAGAGGUAAUACCGUAUACGCCCUCCGGGGGAAAGAUUUAUCGGUGAAAGAUCGGUCCGCGUUAGAUUAGCUAGUUGGUGAGGUAACGGCUCACCAAGGCGACGAUCUAUAGCUGGUCUGAGAGGAUGAUCAGCCACACUGGGACUGAGACACGGCCCAGACUCCUACGGGAGGCAGCAGUGGGGAAUCUUGCACAAUGGGCGAAAGCCUGAUGCAGCCAUGCCGCGUGAAUGAUGAAGGCCUUAGGGUUGUAAAAUUCUUUCGCUAGGGAUGAUAAUGACAGUACCUAGUAAAGAAGCCCCGGCUAACUUCGUGCCAGCCGCCGCCGUAACAC